AGCUACGCUGUUCUGCGCCGCGGAGAUCGAGAGAUUAGUGGGGAAAAUCAGAUAAACUGCAGCGGAAAAAUGUACCGAAAACCCCAACCAGUUGGACAAGCAGUAUCCGGACAUGUUCUCAAAUUUGAAAAAGGAAAACUGGAGAAAAGGUAUUGUGAAAACAUAAAUUGAUGAGAUUUCAUCUUCCGGAGUUAAAGUGGAACGAUGGAGUGGUGAAAGAUCCGGACAAUAGUGGAUUGAAAUUGAUUCUAAUAUUAUUCCGAAUCCCGGAUUGACUGCAGUAGCACUCAAGAUGCUUUUUAGAAUAAUUCAAAGCAGGGCAAGUCACAGUCCUCCAAGGGAACCGGAUUGAACAUUUUUCCGGCCGGCCUUUUAUUAUGCGCCAAUGUUCCGAGGCGCCGAGUGCAAGGUUUAACAUCGAGACAGGAUUAUCAGCUCCAGCGGAACAAACGUGAGUAUCAACAUGAAGAGAGUUAAUUCCAGAUCCAGAUAACACGAACUUCAAAUCUGUUUCAGGAUGUGCAAGGUACUAUACUAUCGAUAGCAGCAAAAUAGACAAACGUAGACGGAUUAUUCAAUAAGGGUCGUUAUGCUCCUCCGCAGGAAUAUGACCCAGUUGCACCGAAAAUUGUGUUGAACUCAGUAUUUGGUACACAGCUCAGGGAAGAUAAAAGUGUGCCCUCUGGUCUACACGAUGUGUCGUUCUCAAGAAAUCAAACAAAAAUCUUUGCCAACCAGUAGGCCAACACCCACUUACAACCGAACAACUCGGAUAUGCAAGGAAGAAACUUUGAAGAAUCUGAAAAACAAACGGAGCCAAGAUUAGUUUGAAAAAUUGAUAAUCAUAACGCGUUUCGAUAUGAUCAAAGCUGUGGGAAACAUCAACUUUAAUUGUCUGGAUAUUCUGGCAACGAAUUGAAGUCAGUUUUAAAAAUUAUUAGACGUUUCUGUUGAUAGUUAGUGGCAUUUUGCAGCUCAUUUGAAACUGGCCAACAUGGAGCAUUUUUUAUUUUAUUUGAAUUAAUGUCAAAAGAUGAGAAUAAAUUCGUUGUCGCCCACAGCGGUUCCCGUUUAAGCAAGUAGUGAGAUUUUCCUGCAGGUAGAGCCUAGAGCAUCACGUAAUAGCUCAUUCGAAUUUGUAAACAUCAAUGAAAAAAAAAAUGGCUC